AGUUUUGGAACUUCUCAGAAUUUGGAGGAGUCAACAGCUAAAGUAUGUAAUCUACUAUCUAACAAAGACGUAGCAACUCCUUCACAAUGUACCAGAAAACCUUAUUAUGACUAUUUGGUCUGAGCAAGCUCAGGACAAUAUAUCUUAGCAUCUUGAAAAUUAUUUUCUAGGAAGCUCUGGCUUCGGUUGGCAGUAUGUACUUCGAAAGAUGAAAUGAGAAUGUCCUCAGGGUAUUUAGUAGUGGGGGAAAAGAAAAAUCAUAGAAAAAACCCACUUUGGAAAUGUAAGGCAAGGUUUGUAUGUUUUGAUGUCUGGUGUAUCCGAAGUUCCAGCAUUUAUUUUCGAUGGCUUGAAACAUAGACUUAGUAUGUAUAUGGUCGAUCAUGCCCCCAAGGAGACCCAAUACACACACACACAUCUAAGAAAAAAUCUACAGUCCUCUUCCCAUAACUAUUUAUCACUUCAUUUUUAGGAUUUUUAAAUAAAAACUUAGUUCAUUGAGUGUAACAAAUGGAUCGAUGAAACUUUAGCUGUAUUAUGGCUUACCAAUAAUUUCUUUUCUUUUUGUGUCAAAUCGAAUUUCCAAUGUAAUGCACAAAUGCUGUGCAUCAACAGUCAGGAGAACUGUGUAAUCUAGUUGCAGUAUUGAUGAUGCAUUGUGAUUACCCCAUCCCCCACCAGAAAAGGAAAGAAGAAGAAGUAGAGUCAC